rfam:Xenopus tropicalis strain Nigerian Chr05_contig_369, whole genome shotgun sequence.
GGGGAUGUAGCUCAGUGGUAGAGCGCAUGCGUUGCGUGUAUGAGGCCCCGGGUACAAUCCCCGCCAUCUCCC